rnacentral:rRNA from 1 species
GACGAACGCUGGCGGCGUGCUUAACACAUGCAAGUCGAACGCAGUGGCGAACGGGUGAGUAAUACGUGGGUAACCUGCCCUCCUUUUUGGGAUAAGGCUUGGAAACGGGGUCUAAUACCGAAUAAAGGGGGAUGGGUUCGCGGUCUAUCAGCUUGUGGGUGGGGUGAUGGCCUACUAAGGCAGUGACGGGUAGCCGGCCUGAGAGGGGGACGGGCCAAAUGGGGACUGAGAUACGGCCCAGACUCCUACGGGAGGAAGCAGGGGGGGAUAUUGGACAAUGGGCGAAAGCCUGAUGCAGCCAUGCCGCGGGUAUGAAGAAGGCUUUAGGUUUGUAAAGUACUUUCAUUCGGGAGGCGUUACCGACAGAGAAAGCACCGGCUAACUCCGUGCCAGCAGCCGCGGUAAUAC